CUACCUUGAAAUCAAAUUGGAAACUGAGUGGAAAAACAGUUCUCCUCUUGACCCUCUCUGCAUUUAUACUCCAAUCUACGCCCAACGCAUGGCUUUGUUGUACACUCUGUAUGAGUGCCCUCUAUAAUUAAACCUUUAUUCAAAUCUCCUCCUGCCUUCUUCAUCACCCUUGGUUAGAUCAAAACAGGAGAGGCAAAAAAAAAAGAAAAACUUGUCUGGGGUGCAGAAGCAGAGAGGAAGAGAUACUAUUUAAUGAAACAGGCUAACGGUGGUGGGGAGAGAAAGUCUCAAUUCUCCCAUCUCAGAAACAUUGAGCCUGGAAAUAUUGCUGAAAUCACAUUUGGGAACAAAGCUCCGCUUUAAGUAGGCUCACCCAUGAGUGUUGCUAAGCAAUGGAGAGAAGGCGAGAGAGGGAGAGCGCCUGACUUCAGGAUUAGAAGGAUAGAUAGAAGGAAAACCACUAAGGCUUCUAUGUAGCCUUAUUUAAAGUCAGCUUCCAAGUCCUAUGUUUUUCUUGCCUGUCUUCUGACCUAUUUGCACCACAAUUAGUCAAAUAUGGUUCAGUAUCACCACGCAUCCAGCACAGAGUUGCGCCGCGUCCUGGAGCUCUGGCACAAGCAGUUACGCACCAGAACUGUCAACAUGUCUCCACAUUGAACAGAAAGGAAGGAGAGAAGAAGAAAUCUUUCCUAUCAGAAGCAGCAGGGGUUGCUGCAGGAAGAAGAUAAUUCCCCCCUGCUGCUCUACUGACAGCCAUCGAACUCCACAGGAGGAAAACGGCGUUUUAAUCAUGGAAUUGAAAAACACGGCAGUUCCCAAAUCUUCAUCUCACCUUGGUUGAUUUACAUACAUUUAGGACAAACUGGCUCACUGUGGAAUUAUGUUGUAUGUGGAAGAUAAGAGAGGAGCGAAGAAUUCAGGGUAAUUCCUAGUUUGUAGCUGUGUGUGUAACCCCUCCAGAGCAUCCCAGAUAAACAGUGACCACUCUUCCUUAAAAGCACUGUGCAGACUUCCUAAUUUCAAGUCAUGUGCCUUAUAAACUCAGUGCUAUUUUAAAAAAGUAAAGAUAAAAAGAUAAGCACCUUAUUAACAACUGCAAGUCAAGGCCUGAUCAGGGUCCACCGAAGUCAUCAGAAAACCCACGACAGAGAUCCAGGGAGUUUUGGAUAUUUCAUCAGACUGUCAUUAUAACAAAGGCACCCCAGAAUGGGCCAGCUAAGAUGAAUGCAAAUCUUGCAUCAGAAACAGCCAGGCAUCCCCAAAAUUAAAAAUUUGAGCACACAGCAGAUUAUAGGCAGCAGCUUUGGGCAUGUGGCACAACAUCUGUUACAAAAACACUAGAAAGCAGACCUGCGGCAAACUGGACCUCUGCCAGCUCUCAGGAUUUUUUUUUUUCCCCCCUUGACAAGGCUGUCAGGAAAUGGACAGAUGGCAGCCGAUGCACUCGCAGGAUAGUUAGUUCAGUUAACAGUCAAGUAUGCUAAAUGAUUUCAGAUUCACUCCGCACCAGGCAUUGUAUUUUGUACUGAAUCAUUAACGCUGUGUCCUAAUAGGAAUAUAGUUUGGUAGCAAGAAACUGGCAGAUAUUGUAUUUCACAAAACACUUUCUCUGGAACAAUUUGUCAGGGAACAUUAGAACUGCCUUCAUGAAUAAAGCCAGAAUUGGCCAAGUUUACCAAGCUGGUUCGUGCAUAAUCUUAACUCUACAGUAUUCAAAGAAUAGGGAUUGAAACAAACAUUAAGAUGCAGGGCAGAUAGUAGCACAAGUUGUUCCCACACGUGCACUCAGCUGAAAAAGCAGCGUUAGCCAUGCACAGCGUGUGGGAUACCUUAUCACUGUGGCUUGUCUGCCUUACCACGUGCAAGGCACUGAGCUCUCCCAGCAGGCCAGUUCUCACAAGCAGCCCUCUGGAUGGGAUGACAUGCUUUUCCCCCCGGCACACUGAUGUGAAGAUCUGACCCAGGAAAAUUGGUAUUUCUUGACUUUUAUAAGCGCAACCCAUAAAUGAAGUUGAGGCACUAUAUCUUCACGAGGCAAAUAACUCAGCAUUGAACACUGGUGAACAGCACACAGGUGGACUUCUAGCAUUAAGAGAACUAUCUUUUUAUUCUUCCUCUGUAUGAUCAUAUCUUCAACAGUGUGUUUUGUAGACUUAGUGAGAGGAUUACUCCAUCAUCUUGCCUUUUUUUUUUUUUUAAGUAGCAGUACAAGAGUAAUCUUUGGAAGAAAAUAUGUUUGAAGAAAACUAAAAGUUGCAAAGCAUUACUGGUGCCCGAACAACAAAGGAAUGACCUACAGAGUCAGGUAAUGGCCUACAGCAGAACUGCAGGUGAUCUGACUUGCAGUAACAAUAUUACAUCAUGCUGUAAAAGACUUGUACCUUGGAUCCCACUCAAGAGCCCUCCAAAAGCACAGAUCUGACAGUGUAAGUAUUGAGCUGAGAGCAGCUGAGCAGCACCACACAUGAGGAUAAUCUCAACACCUCUCACACAGCAAUGAACCCCCCUAUGGUCCGUCAAUGAACACGACAUGGAUCUUCCACUAAGUUCCCAUUUCUGCUGAUGUUGGCUUUCUCCAGAAGUGUUUAGACAGCAUCACCACAGUUAGACCAGGAAAAAAAACCAAAAACAAUCAGUAACGGCAGCUGAGAGCUCAUCUGUCCUGCUCUAAUUCAGGGGUGGUACAAGAAUCUUCAGAACUCAGUUUGGCUGAGCUCAUUUCUUCUGGCUCAACUUUUUGUGAAAAUCUGAUUAAACCUCAGUGAAAUUUAAUCUUUGCAUUCCAAGCCUUCUUUCCAAAGGAAAAAAAAAAAAAAAUCUUCUGAGGGCAUAAAUUAUCAAGAGAGGUCACCAGCCAACUCUGAGAAAACAGGUGAAAAAUCGUUGUCUUUUCUCAGCACUAUUCAUCUGGUAAAUCUGCAAAGCUAUUCCAAAAAAUGAAUUGCAGAAUAGCUUCAUGUCACCUUUCAACAGUCAAAAAUACACUUUAUCAGAUAGAAAGUCAAAAAGAGUAUGAAAAGGCAGGACAAAUUAGCUAUAACAGAUUUAGGAAUGCCAGGCAUUCAUAAUAUUCUUUCAUAAUGCCAGACAGUCAUAAAGGCUGAAAAUUUGGCUCCCAGCAGUCCCAUGGUGUUAACUUAUUUCUCAUUUUCCCUUUAAUUCCUACUACAGCGAAAUAACAAAGACAAAUGUAGCGGAUAUAUAUUUUUAUAGUAACAGCACUUCCUCAUGACAAUUCUGCUUCAAAACCACACAUUAGGAUGGAAUUAGCAAAACCCAGUUCGCAGCCUGGUUUUUCAGCCAAAGGUCCACACUUCCCCCAUUAUCCCCCAGUAAUAUCUGUCCCACAUUGUCUCAGGAGAGAAACACAAAACAGAAUUCUUUAGCUUUCCUCAAAACAUUUUUUCCAUUUAUGGAUAAAUAAUGCAUAGCAUCGUUAGACCCAAACGAGACAACUGCAGAAUGCUGCUGCCUGGGUACGAUUGGCCAUUCACAGCAACAGAACGCUUUCGCUGCUGAGGAGGAAAGGGAUGUCAGUGGGAGUUUAUUCCCAUCUGUCAGCCCAGCAGCACUGAUGGUGCUGAAUGAAGUCUUUCUGCUCAUUCAGCAUCUGUGGUCUAAUAUUUGCCAGGAGUUUGAUCUUGACCUCUUGGGUUGUGCCUACAGUACCCAGGGUUCCCAGGUGGCUUCUAGCCAAGCAUCAGCCUGGUCUAGGACUGCUGAGCUCGCAGAAUCAGACUGCCCUAAACCACAUUUUGUUGAUACAGCACUGUUACUGGCAUUUCUUAGUUUCUCCAAAUACUCCACUAUGCAAUCCACUAAGAUUAGAUUUUGCAGCUUCGAGGAAAGAGAGCAAGCAAGUCUUAUCAAGCACAGCAAUCAUAUAUUUAAAGAGAAAAGGAAAACAAAUAAGCAGGUGAAAAAAUUGGCAGUAGGAAGGUUUUGCGAGUUUUUUCCUCUGGUUAUCUAACAUUCCAGCCAUCCCAGCUCAACUUCUUUUUACCUUAUAUUAUCUUGGACAAUGCAAAACAUCAGCAAACAUCAAAAGGGAAAUAAAAUUUUGUGGCCAAACCUAAUUAUGGAUAGUCUCAAAUAGUUGUAGAUGUACAUAUCAGGCAAGGCUAAAAAAAAAAGGAAGAUGGUAUAUAGGUCUACUCACUCAUAUAUUUUUUUUUUUAAAGAAUCUGUUCCCCCUAUAACUUUAUAGUUGCUAAUAGCUUCUUCUACUCAGUAAUCCCAGAACUCACACAAUUAUGCAACAAAAACACAGUUAUACACAUACAAUUAUACAUCAGUACGUUUGUGGAAUACAGUACACUGAUAGAAGUCUUUGUAUUUCAAUCAUGCAAUUAAAAGUUCAACACUAAUAUUGCAAUAACAAUUAUAAAACUACCUAGGUAGAAAGCUACAGAGUGAAAAAUCAGAGUGACAUCAUGAACUCUUCUAGUACAGAUGUGCAGUAAUUCUUCAUCUGUUCUUGCCUUGGCAGGUAAGAGGUUGUGCCCUGUUCAAGAUUACUUAGGAACACAUGUUCCUUGUGAACACUGUCGUGUUCAGUAAUAGACAUAAAUGAAUUAAUGGAAUUUAAGAGCAGUCUCUGAAGUCCUACAGAACUGACAAACUACUCAUUUAGAGAGGCUCCACGCUGGGUGACUCCCAUGAUCUCCUUUUCUUUACAAACAGCAUUUCUUUUAAAAAGGUACAGAGUUUGUUUCCAUAUGCUCAUGAUUUCUCAAUACUGCUGUUCUUACAAACUAGUAAAUGAAUGCCUCCAGCUAGCACUAACAUUUCUAUCAAUGUAACAGCCCAGCCUACAGGGAACUAAUUUACUGAAACUGGUUAAGUGCUACACAAACAUCAUCUAGAGAGAUUAAUUGGCUGUUAAAGUUUGAUUGCUUUGCAAUCCCUUGGUCAUGGUUGGAAAAUGAAAAAGUGAUCUUUUGUCAUUACGUAAAUACCUUAAGGUAUAGAAUAUAUGCAGGGCUUUGUUUACAUUUUCUAAACACAGCAAGCCUUCAGUGGGAAGGAGAGCUACG
ensembl:lncRNA